rnacentral:lncRNA from 1 species
GAAAGGAAAGGCUAAACUUCGUCCUCGGAAAUACAGAGUUGUAUAUACCAACCUAACUUAUUGCGGGGAGAUUCAAGUUGGAAUUACUUUUACUGCAAAGGUAACAAUAUAAAAUAAUCCCUCAAACCUAAAGUGACCAAUAUUAUUAGAAUUGGAAAGUUACAAGAAAAAUAUAUAUAACGGAACCUAAACAAACAAUAAGUUUUAGGCUUCUUUUAACAACUUGAUACUGAUGUACAAUGUUUGAUCAAUGUUAUUUGAUUACAGAAAGAAACUGUUGAAGAAGACAUUAUUUGAAAAUCUUUACGAAGAUAUUUGAACGACGAAGAAUUAACCACCAAAAGAAUCAGCCUUUGGUAGCAAGAAGAAUAUGGAGGAAGAAAAAUACAUACUGACUUGAUUUGGGAAUUUAAUGUUGUUGUACAAGCAUUCUUUUGCCCCCUCUCAGGAAUUUGAAAUGCUUUAGGUGUAACGCCCCGAAAUCUUUUUCAUUUUCAUUAUUUUAUUCUUUUAUAAAAAUAGGCUCGAGGUGUUACCAACACCUUCUUUGUCUAAUUUCAGCAGAAAUAUUACUUUCAUUAAGUAUUGAAAAUGCUUAAAAAUAGCUAUUAAACAAUGUUUACAAAAUUCAAUAUGAAGAUAUUCUUCAAAUAAAAGUUUGACAAUUUUAUUUUCUAGAAAAUUUACCCGUUUUCGUGUGAAAGAUAUUGUAAGAGUAAAUACCUUGAAAAUGCUCAGUAAGAAUACGUACACAUUCUUAUUCACAAGAUAUAAAUAUAAAACUGACAUAACAUACCAAUAAUUCUUAGAUUUAGAGCUCAAGGAAUUUCUUAAGAAUUCUCAUAUUCUGUAGGAUUUAACAUAACUGAUCCAAAGUCCAUUCCGUAGGAUUUAACAUCUUUGACCUAACGGUCCAUCUCGAAGGAUUUAACAUACAGUUCGACCCAAAGACGUCAUAGCGUUUUAUGCCAAAAAUUAUACAAAUAUCAAGGAAUAAGAAUUUACCACUUUACACGACGUAUUCUUACCUCAAUUUGAUACUAAAUAAAUCUGAAAAUGACUUGUGAAUGAAAUAAUAUAUCUUUUUAAUAUGUGUGUAUUCACGUGUGAAGGUGUAUAUGUAAAGGGUCAAAAAACACUUCUCACACCUUUUAUAUAUACAAUAUUCACUUUAAUUAACCUGUUUUUUAUUUCAAAUCAAUCAUGGUGAGUGUGGAAAUUAGUAUUCAUUGAUGGGACGAUUGUGUAAAAGUUGAAAAGGUUAAUUUAUUAUAUUAAUUUCAUAAAAAAUGAUCGACUUUAUGUUUUCCAAUUAUCAAGAAACAUCCCAUUCUUCAUUUUACUAUGUGUGUGUGUUCUUUUUAUUAAUAAAAUAUAGGAUUAGAGUAAUUUUCUUUCUCUCAAGAUAACUCGAAUAUGGCUAGUCCAAAUUUUUUUCUUCUUGAGCCAAUUUAUGUUAUUCAUCACGAGUUACAAAAUGAGUAUAAUAUCGAUAUUUUUUUUAUUAACUUUUAAAUAGUUAAAUAUUCGACCCAACUAACUUUCGAUAAAAUUUUAAAAGUAUACAUAAGCAAAUAAAUCAUGAGGAAAUUUCACAAAAUGUCCAUUUUUACCUAGUCAUUUGCAAAAAUAUCCACCAUUGCAAAAAUGUCUAAUUGGGAAGAAUUUAGAUCAAAAUACCCUUAUUAACAAUUUAUAAUUCCACACUAAGACAAAAAUGGACAUUUUUGCAAUAUUGUUAUUGACCAAUAAAAUUUUGACACAUAACCUGUGAUAUUUAUUUGAAAAAGUAUACAUGUCAAAUCACAAUAAAUUUUAUAUUUUUCAUUGAUUCAGAAAUGUCAAGAACGACAUUUUUAAAUGUAGAGAAAUAUCAUUCUAAACAAAUGAAAUGAUGUUCAAAUGUCGAGAAUGACAUAUGAAAUGUCGAGAUACAUUAUUUUAAUGCAGCUUCUCAUGGAAGCCACUUCUCAAAAUUCGUGACAAAUUGAUAAAAAAAUCAAAUGUCGAGAACGAUAUUUAAAAUAUUGAGAAUACCAUUUCAAAAUGUAAUUUUUUAUUAAUGGCAUAAUAGACAAAUUGAUAUUAAAUUUAAAUGAGUUGACACUUUUCAACUCAUACCCUUAAAAUUUGACAUUCUUAAAAAUGCCCCAUAAAUCAUUUAUGUAAAUGAGUAGGUCAAGUUUGUCACUUUAACUCUCAAACUUUUAGUGUGACGACAAAUCUAGAUAUUGACUAUUUCAUUUGCUAAAUGAGCAAUAUUAAGUUUAGGUCCAUAUGAAAAUAGUAAGAAAAAGUCAGGAUCUUACAUCCCUUUACCCUUAAAUAAAUUUCGUCCUUGAAAUUACUUUACUUGACUUUUAUUUCCUCUUAUUUCUAAUGUUUUGAUAAGUUUUUGCCACGUUUGUCACCUAGAUGUUCUAUUAUGUUUUAUCUUUAUUAGUCAAUUUAUACAUUAUGCUAAUAUGCUCUAGUAAAAUGACUAAUUAUCAUAUCUUCAUAUAUAUUAAACAAUAAAAUAACUUGCAUAACAUAUUUUAUUCUAAACAUCAUAAACAUUUCGUGAAAUCAAGCUUAAAUAAUUUAUAAAUCAUGAAUAGAACAUAACAUUUCAUUCAUACUAUUCACUUAAACAUGAUGAAGAAAUACACACAUACACACACACAAUAUUCACUUACCAUUAACUAGGAAUACAAAUCAUCACACGUUAGGGGGAAUUCAAUAGGUUAAUUAACCUAUUCUUUAUUUCAAAUCAAUCGUGGAGAGUGUGGAAAUUAGUAUUCAUUGAUGGGACGGUUAUGUAAAAGUUGAAAAGGUUAAUUUAUUACAAAAAAAUGAUUGACUUUAUGUUUUCCAAUUCUCAAGAUAUGUCAUAUUCUUCAUUUUACUAUUAUAUAUGGAUAAUACUGUGUCUACACCUUAUGGUGUAUACACAGUCUUACACCCCCCUCACAUGGAGGGAGGUCCACGAAUAUUUUAUUACAUAUAGGCCCCCCUCCAUGUAAGUGGGGUGUAAGCCUAUGUGUACACCAUUGUGUACACACAGCACAACCCAUUAUAUAUAUAUAUAGGAUUUGAGUAAUUUUCUUUCAAUCAAGAUAACUCGAAUAUGGCUAGACCAAAAUUAUUUCUUCUUGAACCAAUUUAUGUUAUUCAUCACGAGCUACAAAAUGAGUAUAAUAUCUAUAUGUAUUUUUUAUUAACUUUUAAAUACUUAAAUACUCGACCCAACUAACUUUCGAUAAAAUUUUAAAAGUAUACGUAAGCAAAUAUUUCGUUUAUGCAAAUGAGUAGGUCAAGUUUGUUACUUUAACUUUCAAACUUUUAAUGUGACGACAAAUCUAGACAUGAACUAUUUCAUUUACUAAAUGAGCAAUAUUAAGUUUAGGUUCAUAUGAAAAUAGUAAGAAAAUUUUGGGGUGUUACAUUAGGACUCUAAACAAAUAAUUUUAGCUGAUUAUUCAACCUUUAAUCUGGAUUACAAAAUGUACGAGGAUAUCCGAAUUACAAAAUGUACGAGGAUAUCCGAAGAAAGAACAAGAAAAUGAACUUUUUAAAAAUUUGAAUUUAGGUUUUGAAAUUUUUAUAAUUUGAUUCAAAGAUUUCAGGUAUUAAUGUUAUGUUCUUGUAUCAAUUUCAACUCGUAUAUAUAAGUAAUAAUCUCUAAAACAAGAAAAGACACAAUUCACGAACGAAGAAUUACAUUUGAUGCAAAGUUUCAAAAAUACAAAAAAAAAACAGAGACAACGCAGAUAGAUCAUUCUUUUCCUGCAUUUUUUUUCAUCCGACCUUUUCUUUUGAUCCUCCAAUACUUUAAGAAUACUAUCAGAAGCGUGGGUGGACCUACUUGAGGCCGAGCGGGGUCGGCUGCCCCCACUUGAUUUUUAGAUUUUCAGUUUUUCUCCAAGUUUCUUUAGGUUUUCAUAUUUUUUUCCCAAAGGUUUUUCGGUUUCGGCCCUAAGAUUUUUUGGUGUCGCCCCCUCUAGACUUCUAUCCUAGGUCUGCCCCCAAUCAAAAGAAUGUGGUGGAUAUAUAUAUACACGAGAAAGUUCAGUGUAAUAUUAGAAUUUUAAGUUCAAAACUCAUUGACUCUGAUUUAUGAUAAGGUGAGAUUCUCAAUAAGGUUAGUGUAUCAGCUAACUCUACUAGCCGAACUUUCAAAAGUGCACAAUAGUUUCAUUUAAAUAUAAUCAGAAAGUAUGUACAAGACCUGAGUCAUGUAAAAAAGAUUUAUCUUAUAAAGAAAUUUCAAUUUUCAUCUUGGAUAGAAAAGUCUGGAAGUUGAAAACUAAAGAGAUUUCGUUAGUUAAGGUGCAAUAGUGGUAUCAUAUAAUGGAAAAAGCUACUUGGAAAACUGAAGCAAAAAUUAAGAACAAGUAUUUGACACUAUUUGCCUAAGCAAAGUUAAUAUUAAGGACCAAAAUCUUUUAGGGUUAUGUUGCAAGUACCAAAUGAUUUAUCGAAUUGACAAGUGGUGGCCCCCUAUUUGGAGGGGGGCGACUGUGGGGCCGCCACUUGUUAAUUCGGUAAACCAUUAGGUAAUCUAUUUGGUACAAAUAGAUUAAUCCAUUCUUUUAAGAUGUAAGAGAUGUAAGGUCCCAAAAUUUUAUUAUUUGGUUUGCCUAUUUAAGAAAUGAGCUUUGAAGGCUCACUAAGUUGGUUUAGUGUAUAAAUCAUAAGCUGGUCAAAAAUCCAAAGAUUAAAUUAUUUUAAGUUAAAAUGAUUUUUAUUUCAAAUAUCCAACAAGUAAUUGCUAGUAACAUAAUGGUUAUUUGCAUGUUAUUCACAAAAACAACCAAAGUUAGAAUCACCAUCUAGAUAUUUUUCUUAAAUAUUUUAUUUUAUAACAUUAAGAGUUACAAAACUCUUAAUCUUUUACAUAAACACACCAUUAAGCUAUAUUUAAUUUUUCACAAAAUCUUCAUAGCCAUUCUAUUUAUUGAGUCAUUGAAAAAGGAGAUGGAGUUUACAAGGGAAAAUGACACUAUAUAAACUUCCCUUCCAUCUAUCGAAUUCGGUUGAGCCCAAUUAAAGUGAUUUAAUAAGGCUUCGAUUUUGGACCAUUAUGUAUCCAGUUAAAGUGUGAGUUCUAUAUAUUAUGUGUAGAUAUCGGGCCCAAGUCUUAAUUUUAUGAUGGGCCGAAUUAGAUCAAAGGGCGUCGUUAUAUAAAUACGAUUAUGUUCCCCAGAUCACACGUACGUAUUAUUCAUCGCUAUAUAAAUACGAUUAUGUUCCCCAGAUCACACGUACGUAUUAUUCAUUCUUUUCUGCAUCCCAUCACAGAGAGAAAAAUGAGACUGCAUGUAGAUUUGGAAGACUAUACCGCAGGAUUCAAUUAUUGCAAAUAACCAUGUCUGAUUCAGGUACGCUUCCGCUAUAAUUCUUCAAUUUCGUGAUGAUUUAACAUGAAAGAUCCAGUGAAUUUAAAGCAAUAAAUUAUCCUACAAGUGGUAUCAGAGCCUUUUCAUGUUGAAUCAUUGAGAAUCGAAUAUUUUAUUUGGUUCUUGCAAUAAUCUUAUAAGUUUUCAAGUUUGACAAUUUUUAGAUUUACGUGCUGUUGAAUUUGAAAACUUCUAUAACAUAUUUUGUGUUGUCUUCCAUGAUUUGGAUUAAUAGAUGUGGAAUUUUAGAUUAUGGUUUCUUGGUUUUAUAUUAAAGAUUUAAAGGUUUUACGGAUUAUGGUUUAUGGAUUUAAACAAAAAAAUAAAUAAAUUAUUAAUUUAAGGUUUUCCGGCAGCAGCACUGCUGCCAGUACAACAACGUAGUAGCUCUCGGCACUGCUGUAACAGCUCCGGGGCUGCCAAUGGAGAAACUUCUGCCGACGCUCCAAUCUGUAAGGGGCGGCGCAUAGAGAUGAAAGAUUUUUUUUUUUUUUAGAGUUUUUCAGUUUUUUUUGGAGAUUUGGGGGCGGGGGCUUGAUGCGUAAAUUAGAUGAUUUGAGGCCCCAAUUUGCAAUUAGGGUUAGUGUUAUAAAAUUGAGGUUUCAGUCCCUAACACUAAGGCAUAUUCAAGAUUGAGCCUUUAAGUUUUGGAUUUAAUAAUUCAGUCCCUAAGAUUUAAAAAUUAAUUAAUUUGGGCUAUUAAAGUUCUAAAUUUUAUAAUUAAAGCCCUCAAACUUUAUUAUUAAUUCAAAUUGACCCCCAAAGUUUCAAAUUUUCAAAAUUUGAUCCCUAAAGUUUUGAAUUGGUCAAUUUUUGGCCCUUAAAGUUUUAAAUUUGUUCUAAUUGAUCUUCUAAAGUUUUGAAUUAAUUAAUUAUGGCCCCUAAAGUUUCAAGUUUAUUAAUUUCAACCCCUAAAGUUUGGAAUUAAUUAAUUUUGCCCCCUUGAAAUUUUAAAUUAUUAAUCUUAAGGCCCUUAAAGUUUAAAACUAAACAAAAUAUGUAAAAUUGGUGAUUAUCUUUCUCAAAUUUUGGUACUAAGGACUCUUUUAAGAGAUAUAAUAUUCGAAAGUUGGUUAAUUGAAGCAACAUGUUGCCAAAAUAACCUCUCUUGUAGAAAUUGACUAACUUAGAACACUAAAAGGUAUUUGUGCAUGUGUUAUUCAUGGGAAUAUUGGUCGGCCCAAAGAAAGGUUAAUAUUUAGCCAAAUACACGUGCACUUGUGGUGAUAAACGUGUGACAAUUAUUUGGUUUAAUAUGUGAUCAAUAAAUCGGUCCAAAGAAAGAUUUAUUGAUUGAUAUAUUAUUUUAUCGUCAAUGUUUGAUCACUAUGCCAAGAGUACCACUUACAAGUCAAUAUCUCUGUCCAAAGACUAGAUAUUGAUAUUGUGCUUGGUAUCUUGUGAUGGGUCUUACCACUAUUUGAGAUUAUUAUUAUUUGCAUAUUAAAGAUAUUCAUGUGAGCUAUUCAUAAUAAACGUUAUCUAAUUCAGUUUCAGGUUCUAUACUAAUAUCUUUGCUAGCAUCAAUUCAAUUCCAAUGUUAAAUGGUACAAACUUUAUGGCAUGGCAAGAGAACGUGAUGAUUGUUCUCAGAGUCAUGGACCUGGACCUUGCUUUACGGGUCGAUCAACCCGCUGCACUCAUUGAUAAGAGUACCUCUGAUGACAAGAGGGAGAUGGAAAAAUGGGAAUGAUCGAACCGCAUAAGCUUAAUGGUCAUGAAGCGUGCUAUUCCAGAAGCAUUCCGGGGUACUAUGUCCGGAUAAGGUGACUACGGCUAAGGGUUUCCUUGAGGACCUUGAAAAGAGUCUUGCCAAGAAUGAAAAUGUUGAAACAAGUACACUUUUGGCAAACCUUGUCUCAAUGAGGUAUAAAGGGAAAUGAAACAUUCAGGAGUAUAUUAUGGAAAUAUCUCACAUUGCUUCAAAACUAAAGGCACUCAAGUUGGAUUUAUCUGAAGACUUGUUAGUGCACUUAGUUCUAAUAUCCUUUCCGGUGUAUUUCAGUCAAUUCGAGUUGAGCUACAACUGUCAAAAGGAUCGAUGGUCCCUUAAUGAGCUCAUCUCACACUAUGUCCAGGAAGAGGAAAGAUUGAAGUAUGAGAAGACAGAAAAUGCUCAUUUGGCCACCACCUCUAAGUAUAAAAAGAACAAGAAAAUGAAGAUUAAUAAAGAAGCUGUGGGUACAGCACCGCAAAAGAAACAUUAUAAGGAACCAACUGAAGGUGGUUGUUUCUUUUGUGGGGCUGCAGGGCAUAAGAAGAAGAAUUACACCAAUUACCACGCUUGGCGUGUAAAGGAAGGCAUUUUUCUUCAUUUGGUUUGUUCUGAGGUUAAUUUAACUUCGGUACCUAGACUUACAUGGUGGAUAGAUUCUGUUGCAACAACUCACAUCAGUAUGUCUAUGUAGGGUUGCCUGAGUUGUCGAAAACUAAGUGAUGAUGAAAGAUACAUCUAUGCUAGUGAUGGUAAGAUGGUGAAAGUAGAGACAAUUAGAAAAUUUAGAUUAUCGUUAAAGACUGGAUUUUAUUUGGAUCUGAUGAAACAUUUAUUGUACCGUAUUUUUGACGAAAUUUGAUUUUUAUUUCUAUUUUGGACAAAUUUGGUUAUUCUUGUUCAUUUGGAAAUGGAAAAUUUAGUUUGUUUCAUGAUUCAAAAUUGAUUGGUUCCGGUUCUUUAUCAGGUUACGAUAAUCUUUAUUCAAUUGAUACAAUUGCUGCUUAUAAUGGAUCCUUGCAUGUAAGUACUCAAAGUGUAAAGCGAAAAUUAACCGACGAGAAUUCUACCUCGUUGUGGCACAAAAGAUUAGGUCACAUCUCCAAAAGGUGAAUUGAGAGACUUGUGUCUGAUGGGAUUCUCGACCCUCUUGAUUUUACAAAUUAUGAUCCGUGUGCCAAUUGUAUAAAGGGAAAACAAACUAAUAAAAGGAGAUUUCAAGCCAAUAGGACUUCAGACAUCUUAGAACUUAUACAUACGAAUAUUUGUGGACCAUUCCCUACGGGUUCUUGGAAUGGUCAAUAAUAUUUUAUAACGUUCAUAGACGACUUUUCAAGAUAUGAUUACAUAUAUCUCAUUCAUGAAAAAUCACAGUCAUUGGAUGUGUUCAAAAACUAUAAAGUCGAAGUUGAAAACCAACUCGGCAAAAGGAUUAAAAGUGUCAGAUCUGAUCGUGGUGGUGAAUACUAUGGCAGAUAUAACGGUUUAGGUGAACAACAUUCAGGACCAUUUGCUAAAUUCAUAGAGGAAUGUGGUAUCGUCUUAUAGUACACUAUGCCGGGUUUGCCCACUAUGAAUGGCGUUGCUGAGAGAUGAAACAGAUUGCUUACAGACAUGGUAAGGAGUAUGAUUAGUAGUUCUACCUUACCAGAAUAUCUCUGGGGUGAAGCAUUAAAGAUCGCAGCGUAUAUACUCAACAGAGUUCCAAUUAAGGCCACUGAUAAACCCCAUAUGAGCUUUGGACGCGCAAGAGCCUAGUUUGAAGCAUAUACAUAUUUGGGGGUGUCUAGCUGAGGCAAGGCCCUAUAAGCCAAAUGAAAAGAAACUGGACGCAAAGACCAUCAGUUACUACUUUAUUAGAUAUUCUGAAAAGUCCAGGGGUUACAAGUUUUAUAAUCCCACAACUAAGGCAAUUUUUGAGACAGGAAAUAUUCGGUUCUUUAAAGAUGUUGAGUUUGCGGGGUGAGAAAGGGUUAUAGGCUUUGUCUUUGAGGAGAAAUAUGUUGAAAUUCCUCCAAUUGCCAUUGAUAAUAAUCAUUUUUUUAUUCCUAAUAUUGGUCAAGAAGCAACUCCGGAUCAAAACAAUGUCAUACCUCCCUCUCAAGAUUAACAAAUUGUUCCAGAAGAACAAACUCUGCAGCCUCAAUAACCAAUGUCAUUAAGAAGAUCCACUAGAGAGAGGAGAAGUGCAGUUUCAGAUGAUUGCAUCGUAUUUCUCCAAAAACAUGAAGUUGACAUUGGAAUGGUGGAAGAUGAUCCGAUCAACUUCGUCAAGCCAUGAAAAGUUCUAAUUCUCAAAAGUGGCUCGAUGCCAUGAAUGAAGAGAUAAAGUCCAUGAAGGACAAUGACGUAUGAGACCUCAUUCCAUUGCCUGAAGGUGCGAAACUCAUUGGUUGCAAAUGGAUAUUUAAGACCAAGAGAGAUUCGAAAGAUGAUGUAGAGAGGUAUAAGGCUCGUCUUGCCACAAAGGGCUUUACAUAGAAAGAAGACAUCGAUUAUAAAGAGACUUUCUCUCCGAUUUCUUCAAAAGACUCUUUCAGAACUAUAAUGGCAUUGGUAGCGCAUUUUGAUCUUGAGUUACAUCAAAUGGAUGUUAAGACAUCGUUUUUCAAUGGUGAAAUUGAUGAAACAAUUUAUACGGUACAACCAGAAAACUUUGUAUCGGACGAUGCAAAGCAAAUUGUUUGUAAAUCAAAGAAAUCCAUCCAUGGACCCAAAUAGGCGUCUCGUCAAUGGUAUAACAAGUUUCAUCAGGUGAUCAUCUCAUUUGGUUUUGAGAUGAAUUUGGUCGAUGAUUGUAUAUACUACAAGUUCAGUGGGAGCAAAUAUAUUUUUCUGGUUUUAUAUGUCGAUGACAUAUUGCUUGCUAGCAACGAUAUAAGCUUAUUGCACGAAAUCAAGAGAUUUCUAGCAAAAAAAUUUGUUAUGAAAGAUUUUGGUGACGCCUCUUUUGUAUUAAGAAUUCAUAUACACCGAGAUCGUUCUCAGGGUAUUCUUGGAUUAUCACAAAAAAGCUAUAUCGAAAAGGUACUUAAAAGAUAUGGUAUGCAAGAUUGUAAAUCAGGUGACAUCCCUGUAGCUAAAGGAGACAAGUUCAACUUAAGUCAGUGCCCUAAAAAUGACUUGGAAAUAAAAUAAAUGUAGAAGAUUCCUUAUUCCUCAGCUAUAGGGAGUUUAAUGUAUGCUCAGAUUUGUACGCAUUCGGAUAUAGUGUCCAUUGUAGGGAUGCUAUGGAGAUAUUUAGGUAACCUAGGAAUGGAUCAUUGGAAAGCAGCUAAACGGGUCAUGUGGUAUAUACAGAGAACAAAAGACUACAUGCUCACAUACAGGAGAUCGGAUCAGUUGGAUAUCGUCGAUUAUUCUGAUUCCAAUUUCGUGGGAUGCCAAGAGAGUAGGAGAUCCACUUCAGGCUAUAUUUACCUGCUUGCUGGAUGUGUUAUUCCCUGGAAGAGUGCUAAGCAGACACUCAUAGCUACUUCCACCAUGGCAAGGGAGUUUAUAGCGUGUUAUGAGACAUCAAAUCAUGAAAUAUGACUGCAUAAUUAUGUCACUGGGCUGCGCAUUAUGGACAAUAUAGAAAGAUCACUUAAUAUAUUUUGUGACAAUAAAUCAACAUUGCUAUAUUCCAAUAACAACAGGAGCUCGACAAAGUCAAAACAUAUAGAGAUCAAGUUCCUUGUUGUUAUAGAAAGAGUUCAGAGUGGACAGUUGUCAAAAGAGCACAUUAGGACAAUUCCAUGAUUGCGGAUCCGCUUACUAAAGGAUUGAUAUCCAAGUCUUUCAUGAGAACACUGCUCAUAUGGGUAUAGUGUCUCUUGAGGAUAUCUAGUUUCAGUAGGAGUUUGUAUUUUUGCUUUUCAUAUUGGACAUAUGUACUGUUAUGUUGGAUACAAUUUAAGGUUAAAGUUAUUUUCAGUUAUAAAGUUAUUUGGUUUAUUAUCUCUGAACUUAUUUAAAAUGAUCUCACUAAGACAUUAAGGUGGACCAGUUGGAAAUAUGCAUGUUACAGAUCACAUCACAUGUAAUUUUCAUGCUACACAUCUAUGCUUGAUUCAUGUUAUUCGGUUAUAUUGAUAUACGUGACCACUGAUGGGUUUAGCUGCAUGAAAGUAGCGAAAGCCGCUUUAAUUCUAUGUUGAUAUGAUUGAUGGACGAGAUUGUUUGGGGAUGCAUUCAGUAAUGAUAGCAAAAAUCUGAGUACUCAUAAGGUUAUAUUUGAUGCACAAUUAUAAGGUGACACAUAUAGCUCAAGUAGGAGAUUGUAAGGAAUUUUUAAACGAUCGUGUGGGUUUAUAUGUGUAAAUUGUUGUGUAUUAAAUUAAAGGUUAUCGAAUUCAAUUGAGCCCAAUUAAAAUGAUCUAAUAAGGUUUCGAUUUUGGGCCGUUAUGCAUCCAAUUAAAGUGUGGGUUCUAUGUGUAGAGACCGAACCCAAGUCCUAAUUCUAUGAUGGGUCGAAUUAGGUCAAACGACAUCGCUAUAUAAAUAGGGUUAUGAUCCCCAUAUCACACGUACGUAUUAUUCAUUCUCUUCUACAUCCCAUCACAGAGAGAAAAAUGAGACUGCGUGUAGAUUUGAAAGAUUAUACCACAGGAUUCAAUUAUUGCAAAUAACCAUGUCUGAUUCAGGUACGCUUCCGCUAUAAUUCUUCAAUUUCUUGAUAAUUUAACAUGAAAUAUCCGGUGAACUUAAAGCAAUAAAUUAUCCUACAAUUCCUCCCUAGAUAACGAUAAAAUGAUCAUACAAAACAUUUGGUAUCAACGAGACAUGCAAGUAAUAUUUUUCAUGACACAUUGUAUUAAAGGGAUGCUCCUGUUUCUAGUCAAUUGCAAAAACUAGGAAAAGUAUUAAAAACAGACAAAUCUUUUCUACCAAAAUGCGUUGCCAUGAAUAAACAAGUGAUUGUUCUAAUAAUAAUAAUAAUAAUAAUAAUAAUAACAACUAUGAAACCUUUUGCUUAUAGAUCUGCUUCCGUUUGGCCCCCAUUCUCACUUUUAUUUUUUCUCUCUCUUAUUUUUAACCAUACAAUCUUCCAAAAAAUAAUAUUAUAUGCAAAUAAAAAACGUUUCAUUUUUUUUCAACCACACAUUUUUCAAAUAAAUACAAUUCCAACUAUUAAAAUUUGGCAACAAUAGGGGCCAAACGAGGGCAGAAAGUUUUCCAAUGUGUUUGCGCCAAGGAAUUUUAAAGUAAAUCAAGGUCCCAAGAAAUUGAAAAUAUUUCUAAUAAAAUUGUUUUGAUUCACUAAAUUUACUUCUAAAAUGUAUCUAAAGUGCUAGCCAUGGGAUUUUAUUUCGAAAUAUGUAAAGUUUGAAUUUUUUUGUCAAAAAAAAAAAAAAAAAUCUGAAUGAAAAUCUUAACAUCCGUUUACUUGUAGAACAAAAAUUUUCACAAUUUUCACAUUAAUUUAUUGUUCGCAAAUAUCACAGGUCACGGAAGCUUUCUUUGAAAACACCAAUAAGGUUGUCCUUUAAUGACAAAAGGGGAGAAGGUUAAGAUUAAAUUCUGAAAAUUCAACUUCAAUUCACAAAAGAGUAAGUCAAUUAUUCUGGUCCCAAUAUUCUUUAGACUUUUUCUAACAUGUUGCAAUUAUUUUAAUCAUGCUGAAAUCUUGUGGAUGAGUCAAAUUAAAGGGCCAAUGGAAAAUAUCCAAGAAAAGACUAUGGGGAAACUUUGGACUUUGAAGAUACAAUUUAAUCAUUUAAAUGAAUAGUGGUAUCGAGACUAGUUAACUAGUUAUGAUUUGAAUUCAAUUUUGUAUUCAAAUAUUGUCAUUGUGCAUUUAUGAAAAUUAUGUAUAUAUCCAGACCUUAAAUGAAAUUAUAAAAUACAUUUUGAUAUGAGGGAGCACUUUGUUAUAUACAGAAAAAAAUUUAAAUUGAUGGAGAAUAUGUGAUUAAAAAAUAAGAAAUUGUUUUAGAUUUACGUGUAAUAUUAUUUUAUUGAAAAAUGUGCAAUGAAAUGAUGUUAAAUUACUGUUUAAAAAUGUAUUAUUGUUAUUAUUAUUAGUGAAAGAAUGCGACGGAAACAUGGUCUAAGAUUUUAAACUCACAUUUCUUGGUAGGGCCCACUACUGUCUUUGGCAGCCGUAUUAGACUGUAAUUAACAACACAAAAAUCUACCCAUGAAACCAAAAGAAUGAGAUAGGAAACAGUCACGUAAUAGAUAACUAUCAACUAGUUUAGAUUGGAAGAUGUCAAAUGAUUGCCGCGUGCGUAAUUACAACUAUUCAACCAGUUUUUAUCAAAAUUAAGACAACUGUAGACGCAGCCUCUUGCCUAUAAAAUGAAGCCUCCCUCAGAAAUUGAGUCCUACGAAGACUAAAAGACUUUCUAAAGAUUCUCUUAUAUUAAUUCGUAUCCCUAAUUUCGACACACAGAGACUUUAAUAUCUUUAAAUAUUAUACUUUCUCAGCCUUAGAGAGGAAGAGAGAUGGCGAUUGGAAUAAUGGAGGUGAAGCUGGUGCGUGCUAAAGGUCUCAAACAGUCUUAUUUUCUAGGUAUGCGUGGCUCUGUGUAUGUGAUUCUAAUAUACAGAUGUGCUGUGAUGAGUUCAAUGAAUCAUGCAUUUCUUGAAUGUUGAGAAGAGAAAAAUCAUUAUUAAAUGAUUUGAGUUCUUUUUCUCAUAUUGAACCCAAAAAUAAUUUAUUAACAAGAUUUCCUUAAUCAACAUUUUUCUUCUUUAAUCAUAUUGAGUCUUUUUUAGGACUAAAACAUCUCAUCGAUGCAAUUGAAUUGGAUGAAUCAAUCCAAAAACUUUACUCUUCUUUAAUCAUAUUGAGCUUUUUUCGAUGUAACUUGUUGAACUUGGUUUCCUUGAUGAAACUACAUUCUUGUUCUUUCUUUCUUUUUCCUUUUUUUCUUCUCUCUCUCUUUUUUUUUUUCCUUUCCCUCUAUAAAAGGUUUAAUAUCAUAAAAGGUCCUCAUAUAAUGGCCAGUCAAUGUGAUUAUGCUUUACAUUGUAGUCUAUUGCAUGACAUAUAAAACAAUUGACAAAAUAUUUUGAUUCUUUAAUUACGAGAAAUUAUACACGCUUCAAAGUAUCAAAUGUGGAUCCUUUAUAGUAUUAUUUAUUUUUUACAACUUAUUCGUAUUCUAAUCCUAAUACCAUGAGAACUUUAAAAGAGACCGGUCAAUGUGAUUUUAAAUAGCUGAUAAUAUGUCAUAUACAUUAUUUUGUAGGUAAAAUAGAUCCAUACGUUUUGCUUCAAUACAGAAAUCAAGAGUACAAGAGCAGAAUUGCAAAAGGUAACAUUCCUCGCGCGAGUGCACAAUAAUUUGUUUUUUCAAGUUUCCUAAAUACACUACUUGUCAACAUAUUCAAAGAAUUUACUUGCUCUGACAAUGCUCCAACAAUAACAAAAAAAAAAAAAAAAUGACAUACUUUUUAGAGUCCAAUAUAAAAUAACUAAUGAGAUUUUAAUUUCUAUAAUCAUGUAGGGCAAGGUCGCAACCCAAUAUGGAAUGAGAAGUUUAAGUAUAUAGUCGAUUAUCCAGAGGAUGAUGAGCAGUACAAACUCGUGCUCAAGGUCAUGGAUCACGACAAGUACACUGCAGAUGAUUAUCUCGGCGAGGCAAAGUAGGACAAUAUGAUAUUUAUCAAAACAUCUCCUAUAUAAUUGCGUCUAAUCUUAUUCUAAUUAGUUUGGUAUAACUUAUCACAAUCUACAUGCAGGAUCUAUGUGAAAGAACUUAUAGAAUUAGGAGUGGAGAAAGGAAAGGCUAAACUUCGUCCUCGAAAAUACAGAGUUGUAUAUACCAACCUAACUUAUUGCGGAGAGAUUCAAGUUGGAAUUACUUUUACUGUAAAGGUAACGAUAUAAAAUAAUCCCUCAAACCUAAAGUGACCAAUAUUAUUAGAAUUGGAAAGUUACAAGAAAAAUAUAUAUAAUGGAACCUGAACAAACUAUAAGUUUCAGGCUUCUUUUAACAAAUUGAUACUGAUGUACAAUGUUAUUUGAUUACAGAAAGAAACCAUUGAAGGAGAUAUUUUUCGAAAAUCUUCACGAAGAUAUUUGGACGACGAAGAACGAACCACCAAAAGAAUCAAACUUUGGUAGCAAGAAGAAUAAGGAAGAAGAAAAAUAGCAAGAAGAAUAAGGAAGAAGAGAAAUACGUAUCGACUUAAUUUGGGAAUUUAAUGUUGUUGUACAAGCAUUCUUUUGCUCCCUCUUGUUGAAUCUGAAUUGCUUUAGGGACUCUAAACAAAUAAUUUUAGCUGAUUAUUCAGCCUUUAAUCUGGAUUACAAAAUAUACAAGGAUAUCCGGAGAAAGAACAAGAAAAGAAACUUUUUUAAAAAUG